rnacentral:rRNA from 1 species
UUGGUUAAGCUAAUAAGAGCGCAGGGUGGAUGCCUUGGCACUAAGAGCCGAUGAAAGACGUGAUAAGCUGCGAAAAGCUUCGGGGAGGAGCAAAUAUCCAUUGAUCCGGAGAUAUCUGAAUGGGGAAACCCGGCUGAGAAGACCUCAGUCAUCCAUACGCCAAUACAUAACGUAUGGAAGGGAACCCGCUGAACUGAAACAUCUAAGUAGGCGGAGGAAGAGAAAGAAACAUCGAUUCCCAAAGUAGCGGCGAGCGAAAUGGGAAGAGCCCAAACCAGAGUGCGUGCACUCUGGGGUUACGGACUGCAUAAGUGAGCUGAUUCGUUAAUGGAACGGUCCUGGAAAGACCGGCCAGAGAGAGUGAAAGCCUCGUACAUGAAAACGAUAAGCAGCGGCAGGAUCCAGAGUACCGCGAGACACGUGGAACCUUGCGGGAAUUCGGGGGGACCACCCCCCAAGGCUAAAUACUCCUUAGUGACCGAUAGCGCAUAGUACUGUGAAGGAAAGGUGAAAAGGACCCCGGGAGGGGAGUGAAAGAGAACCUGAAACCCUGUGUUUACAAGCUGUGGAAGCACGUUAAGGUGCAACCGCGUACUUUUUGUAGAACGGUCCGGCGAGUUGCGGAUGCUGGCGAGGUUAAGGAGUAAAGCUCCGGAGCCGAAGCGAGAGCGAGUCUUAAUAGGGCGUAAAGUCAGCAUGUGCAGACCCGAAACCGGGUGACCUAUCCAUGUCCAGGUUGAAGUUCCCGUAAAAGGGAAUGGAGGACCGAACGCACAUCCGUUGAAAAGGGUGGCGAUGAGGUGUGGAUAGGGGAGAAAUUCCAAUCGAACCCGGAGAUAGCUGGUUCUCCUCGAAAUAGCUUUAGGGCUAGCCUCGUAUUAGUUUAGCGGAGGUAGAGCACUGAAUUUCCUAGGGGGCGUCAAAGUCUACCGAAGAAUAUCAAACUCCGAAUGCCGCAUAAAUGAUGUACGGGAGUCAGACUGCACGAGAUAAGUUGGGUAGUCAAAAGGGAAAGAGCCCAGACCUACAGCUAAGGUCCCAAAGUGUGUGUUAAGUGGAAAAGGAUGUGGGAUUUCGAAGACAACUAGGAUGUUGGCUCAGAAGCAGCCACACAUUCAAAGAGUGCGUAAUAGCUCACUAGUCGAGAGGUCCUGCGCCGAAAAUGUCCGGGGCUAAAACACAACACCGAAGCUUAGGAAUGUAAUUAUACAUUGGUAGAGGAGCAUUCUUAAAGAGACGAAGCAGUACCGAUAAGGAGCUGUGGAUUUUUAAGAAGAGAGAAUGCCGGAAUGAGUAGCGAGAUGGAGGUGGGAAUCCUCCAGGCCGAAUAUCUAAGGUUUCCAGAGUAAAGCUGAUCUGCUCUGGGUAAGUCGGGGCCUAAGGCGAGGUCGAAAGACGUAGUCGAUGGAUAACAGGUUGAAAUUCCUGUACUGCAUAUCAUCAGAACUGUGGGGACACAGAGAGAUACCGGAACCUGGGAAUGAAGAUACCAGGGCAAGCGAGGUAGGUGCUAAGCUGGCAAAACCGCUUAGUAAGCCGAAGACGUGAUGCGGAGCGAAUUAAAGUAGCGAAGUCCGGGAUUCGAGCUGUCGAGAAAAGCCGCUAUUGUGUGAUAUGUACCCGUACCGUAAACCGACACAGGUGGAUGAGGAGAGAAUCCUAAGGCCGGCGGGAGAAGCAUUGUUAAGGAACUCGGCAAAAUGACCCUGUAACUUCGGGAUAAAGGGUGCCACAGAGAUGUGGCCGCAGAGAAUAGGCUCAAGCAACUGUUUAGCAAAAACACAGGUCUAUGCGAAACCGAAAGGUGAGGUAUAUGCUGACGCCUGCCCGGUGCUGGAAGGUUACGAGGAGAGGUUAGAGCAAUCGAAGCUUUGAAUCUAAGCCCCAGUAAACGGCGGCCGUAACUAUAACGGUCCUAAGGUAGCGAAAUUCCUUGUCGGGUAAGUUCCGACCCGCACGAAAGGCGUAAUGAUUUGAGCGCUGUCUCGACAAUGCACCCGGUGAAAUUGAAAUACCAGUGAAGAUGCUGGUUACCUGCGCCAGGACGGAAAGACCCCAUGGAGCUUUACUCUAGCUUGAUACUGGGAUUCGGUACUGCAUGUACAGGAUAGGUGGGAGACUUUGAUGACAGGACGCCAGUCUUGUCGGAGUCGCUGUUGGGAUACCACCCUUGUGGUACUGGAUUUCUAACCAACCUCCGUGACCCGGAGGUGGGACAAUGUCAGGUGGGGAGUUUGACUGGGGCGGUCGCCUCCGAAAGGGUAUCGGAGGCGCUCAAAGGUUCCCUCAGAAUGGUUGGAAACCAUUCAAAGAGUGCAAAGGCAGAAGGGAGCUUGACUGCGAGACCGACGGGUCGAGCAGGUACGAAAGUAGGACUUAGUGAUCCGGUGGUAGAAAGUGGGAUUGCCAUCGCUCAACGGAUAAAAGCUACCCUGGGGAUAACAGGCUUAUCACUCCCAAGAGUUCACAUCGACGGAGUGGUUUGGCACCUCGAUGUCGGCUCAUCGCAUCCUGGGGCUGAAGUAGGUCCCAAGGGUUGGGCUGUUCGCCCAUUAAAGCGGUACGCGAGCUGGGUUCAGAACGUCGUGAGACAGUUCGGUCCCUAUCCGGCGCGGGCGUAGGAUAUUUGAGAGGAGCUGCCCUUAGUACGAGAGGACCGGGGUGGACUGGCCUCUGGUGUAUCUGUUGAGCCAUCAG